rnacentral:misc_RNA from 1 species
CUAUGAAAGGCCUUUGGCUUAGAUCUUUUAAUGGGGUUAUAUGUGCUGCAAAGAGCUAAAGGGAGUGAUAGAUGCAUAUAAAUCCCUAAUACUUUAGUGGACUAGAGCAAUGAAUUCAAUGGAUCCCUGCAUGUAAAUCCCCGUUUCCCCUAUCAAAUUUACAUUUCCAUCUUCUCUGUUUGAAGAUUUAGCUCAAAUUUCAAUAAUGUAGUGCAACUCUAUCAUUGGAGUUUGCCAGCUAUUCCACACACAUGCACGAAAGGUACUUUUUUAAAAUGGAGAGUUGUAG